rnacentral:snRNA from 2 species
AUACCUUUCUCGGCCUUUUGGCUAAGAUCAAGUGUAGUAUCUGUUCUUAUCAGUUUAAUAUCUGAUAUGUGAGACAUUGUCUUACAAUGAUAUUAAAUUUAUUUUUUGUGGGGGAGAAUCCAUUAUAGUAGCUUGCUACUAGGAUUCUCAAGUGUCGCUUAGUCGUUGCACUAUUGGCAAGGCCUGGCACACCCCAA